ACUCCUCAGUGAGCCGGAACAGCCCCGCCCCUCGCUGCCAGCAGCCAAUGGCCGGCCUCGAGGGAAGAGACUGACAGGGGCUCCCGGGGGCUGAGCCUGCGCUGUGGCUUAGUGCGUCGGCGCUCGCGCCCGUGCGCUCUAUAAACUGAAAAUGCUGUAUGUGUAGUGGCAUGUAGCCCUACAUAUACCCGUGUAUAUACACAGCGCUUUAUGAAUACAUAUAUAGCAUUAGAUAUACACGUGUUUAACUAUAGAUCUAUAUAGCUAUAUAUAUCUGUAUGUAUACACACAAACACCAGGUUUACUCAUGAUAUUCUCCCCCACUACCCAUCCCAAACCAGCAAGGGGGCGAAAAACCUUCCUCUUCCAUUCUCAUACAAAGCAGAGGGGUGAUAAGGUGACUGGCUCUGUGGACGUGGGGAGACUAGUGGAUGUGGUGUACCUUGAUUUUAUCAAGGCUUUUGAUACAGUCUCCCACAACUCUCACAGGUGAGGUCACAUCUGGAGUACUGUGUUCAGGUUUGGGGCCCCCAGUACAGAAAGGAUGUGGACAAAUUGGAGAGAGUCCAGCAGAGGGCAACAGAAAUGGCGAGGGGGCUGAGGGACAUGAUUUACAAGCUUCUCUACAUCCCUCUUGAAGUGUGGCACCAAGGACUGGAUGCAGUAGUCCAGCUGUGGCCUCACCAAUGCUGAGUAGAGUAGGACGAUGACAUCCUUAGUCUUGCUUGUGAUGCAUCAGUUCAUGCACGUCAAAGGAUUGUUCACUUUGCCAGCUAUAGCAUUGCACUGGUGGCUCAUGUGGCCCAAGGGCAAAACUGUACACUGGAUUCCACCUGCAGAAAACCCGGAGGAGAAACUGUAUUUAAAGCAAUGAUGUCCCUCCCUGGCUCUUGCUUUCAGCACAUUCUCUUCUAUCAAACCUGCUGCCAGCUCUCACUUGGGGAAGUACUGGGUCCAAAGUCAUAUAGAUUCAUAGAUGCUAGGGUUGGAAGAGACCUCAACAGAUCAUCAACUCCAACUCCCUGCCUAGGCAGAAAAGAGUGCUGGGGUUAGAUGACCCCUGCCAGAUGCCUAUCCAGCUAACAGUCCCCACUGUUUGUUCAUUAUUUGACAAAAUAAAAUAAAAAAUUCUUAGUAAAGCAGAUAUUUUUCACAAAAAACCCAGCUUUCAAUUUAUAAACAAUUUUGUGGAAAAUUGUAAUUCUAAUAUGCGUGUGUGUGUGUUCUCUUUGAUGUUGUUUAUAAAUACAUUAAAUUGCAUUGUUAAAACACUA